AACGAACGCUGGCGGCAGGCCUAACACAUGCAAGUCGAGCGAGGACUUCGGUUCUAGCGGCGGACGGGUGCGUAACGCGUGGGAAUGUGCCCUUCUCUACGGAAUAGCCCUGGGAAACUGGGAGUAAUACCGUAUACGCCCUUUUGGGGAAAGAUUUAUCGGAGAAGGAUCAGCCCGCGUUGGAUUAGGUAGUUGGUGGGGUAAUGGCCUACCAAGCCGACGAUCCAUAGCUGGUUUGAGAGGAUGAUCAGCCACACUGGGACUGAGACACGGCCCAGACUCCUACGGGAGGCAGCAGUGGGGAAUCUUAGACAAUGGGGGCAACCCUGAUCUAGCCAUGCCGCGUGAGUGAUGAAGGCCUUAGGGUUGUAAAGCUCUUUCAGCUGGGAAGAUAAUGACGGUACCAGCAGAAGAAGCCCCGGCUAACUCCGUG
rnacentral:rRNA from 1 species